GGAAUUUUGGACAAUGGGCGAAAGCCUGAUCCAGCAAUGCCGCGUGCAGGAUGAAGGCCUUCGGGUUGUAAACUGCUUUUGUACGGAACGAAAAAGUCUGCCCUAAUACGGUGGGCCCAUGACGGUACCGUAAGAAUAAGCACCGGCUAACUACGUGCCAGCAGCCGCGGUAAUACGUAGGGUGCGAGCGUUAAUCGGAAUUACUGGGCGUAAAGCGUGCGCAGGCGGUUAUAUAAGUCAGAUGUGAAAUCCCCGGGCUCAACCUGGGACCUGCAUUUGAGACUGUAUAGCUAGAGUACGGUAGAGGGGGAUGGAAUUCCGCGUGUAGCAGUGAAAUGCGUAGAUAUGCGGAGGAACACCGAUGGCGAAGGCAAUCCCCUGGACCUGUACUGACGCUCAUGCACGAAAGCGUGGGGAGCAAACAGGAUUAGAUACCCCGG
rnacentral:rRNA from 1 species